UGGUUUUCCAGGCAAAUCCGGAAAAUCAAGGCUGAGGCGUGAUGACGAGGCACUACGGUGCUGAAGCAACAAAUGCCCUGCUUCCAGGAAAAGCCUCUAAGCAUCAGGUAACAUCAAAUCGUACCCCAAACCGACACAGGUGGUCAGGUAGAGAAUACCAAGGCGCUUGAGAGAACUCGGGUGAAGGAACUAGGCAAAAUGGUGCCGUAACUUCGGGAGAAGGCACGCUGAUAUGUAGGUGAAGUCCCUUGCGGAUGGAGCUGAAAUCAGUCGAAGAUACCAGCUGGCUGCAACUGUUUAUUAAAAACACAGCACUGUGCAAACACGAAAGUGGACGUAUACGGUGUGACGCCUGCCCGGUGCCGGAAGGUUAAUUGAUGGGGUCAGCGCAAGCGAAGCUCUUGAUCGAAGCCCCGGUAAACGGCGGCCGUAACUAUAACGGUCCUAAGGUAGCGAAAUUCCUUGUCGGGUAAGUUCCGACCUGCACGAAUGGCGUAAUGAUGGCCAGGCUGUCUCCACCCGAGACUCAGUGAAAUUGAACUCGCUGUGAAGAUGCAGUGUACCCGCGGCAAGACGGAAAGACCCCGUGAACCUUUACUAUAGCUUGACACUGAACAUUGAGCCUUGAUGUGUAGGAUAGGUGGGAGGCUUAGAAGUGUGGACGCCAGUCUGCAUGGAGCCGACCUUGAAAUACCACCCUUUAAUGUUUGAUGUUCUAACGUGGACCCGUAAUCCGGGUUGCGGACAGUGUCUGGUGGGUAGUUUGACUGGGGCGGUCUCCUCCUAAAGAGUAACGGAGGAGCACGAAGGUUGGCUAAUCCUGGUCGGACAUCAGGAGGUUAGUGCAAUGGCAUAAGCCAGCUUGACUGCGAGCGUGACGGCGCGAGCAGGUGCGAAAGCAGGUCAUAGUGAUCCGGUGGUUCUGAAUGGAAGGGCCAUCGCUCAACGGAUAAAAGGUACUCCGGGGAUAACAGGCUGAUACCGCCCAAGAGUUCAUAUCGACGGCGGUGUUUGGCACCUCGAUGUCGGCUCAUCACAUCCUGGGGCUGAAGUAGGUCCCAAGGGUAUGGCUGUUCGCCAUUUAAAGUGGUACGCGAGCUGGGUUUAGAACGUCGUGAGACAGUUCGGUCCCUAUCUGCCGUGGGCGCUGGAGAACUGAGGGGGGCUGCUCCUAGUACGAGAGGACCGGAGUGGACGCAUCACUGGUGUUCGGGUUGUCAUGCCAAUGGCACUGCCCGGUAGCUAAAUGCGGAAGAGAUAAGUGCUGAAAGCAUCUAAGCACGAAACUUGCCCCGAGAUGAGUUCUCCCUGACCCUUUAAGGGUCCUGAAGGAACGUUGAAGACGACGACGUUGAUAGGCCGGGUGUGUAAGCGCAGCGAUGCGUUGAGCUAACCGGUACUAAUGAACCGUGAGGCUUAACCUU
rnacentral:rRNA from 1 species